GGUAGAUUUAGUUAGGUUAGUAGUUUUAGUUAGGUUAGUUAGUUAGCUUGGUUAUUUAGGUGCAGGAGGAGAAGAGGAGAAGAGGAGGAGGAGGAGGACGAGAAGAGGAGAAGAUGAAGAGGAGUAGGAGGAGGAGGAGAAGAAAAAGAAGAAGAAGAAGAAGAGGAAGAAGAGGAGAAGAGAAAAAUAAGAAGGAGAAGAAGAAGAAGAAGAGAAGAAAAAAA
rnacentral:lncRNA from 1 species